rnacentral:rRNA from 1 species
AGCAGCCGCGGUAAUACGUAGGUGGCAAGCGUUGUCCGGAAUUAUUGGGCGUAAAGGGCUCGCAGGCGGUUUCUUAAGUCUGAUGUGAAAGCCCCCGGCUCAACCGGGGAGGGUCAUUGGAAACUGGGGAACUUGAGUGCAGAAGAGGAGAGUGGAAUUCCACGUGUAGCGGUGAAAUGCGUAGAGAUGUGGAGGAACACCAGUGGCGAAGGCGACUCUCUGGUCUGUAACUGACGCUGAGGAGCGAAAGCGUGGGGAGCGAACAGGAUUAGAUACCCUGGUAGUCCACGCCGUAAACGAUGAGUGCUAAGUGUUAGGGGGUUUCCGCCCCUUAGUGCUGCAGCUAACGCAUAAGCACUCCG